UACGUAGGGCGCGAGCGUUAUCCGGAAUUAUUGGGCGUAAAGAGCGUGUAGGCGGCCAAGCAGGUCCGCUGUGAAAACUCGAGGCUCAACCUCGAGACGUCGGUGGAAACCGUUUGGCUAGAGUCCGGAAGAGGAGAGUGGAAUUCCCGGUGUAGCGGUGAAAUGCGCAGAUAUCGGGAAGAACACCCGUGGCGAAGGCGGCUCUCUGGGACGGUACUGACGCUGAGACGCGAAAGCGUGGGGAGCGAACAGG
rnacentral:rRNA from 1 species